rnacentral:rRNA from 1 species
UAAUACGUAGGGGGCAAGCGUUGUCCGGAAUUAUUGGGCGUAAAGCGCGCGCAGGCGGUCUCUUAAGUCUGAUGUGAAAGCCCACGGCUCAACCGUGGAGGGUCAUUGGAAACUGGGAGACUUGAGUGUAGGAGAGGAAAGUGGAAUUCCACGUGUAGCGGUGAAAUGCGUAGAGAUGUGGAGGAACACCAGUGGCGAAGGCGACUUUCUGGCCUAUAACUGACGCUGAGGCGCGAAAGCGUGGGGAGCAAACAGGAUUAGAUACCCUGGUAGUCCACGCCGUAAACGAUGAGUGCUAGGUGUUAGGGGUUUCGAUACCCUUAGUGCCGGCGUUAACACAUUAAGCACUCCGCCUGGGGAGUACGGCCGCAAGGCUGAA